rnacentral:rRNA from 1 species
UGGUGAGUAACACGUGGGAAACCUGCCCAGAAGCGGGGGAUAACACCUGGAAACAGAUGCUAAUACCGCAUAACAACUUGGACCGCAUGGUCCGAGCUUGAAAGAUGGCUUCGGCUAUCACUUUUGGAUGGUCCCGCGGCGUAUUAGCUAGAUGGUGGGGUAACGGCUCACCAUGGCAAUGAUACGUAGCCGACCUGAGAGGGUAAUCGGCCACAUUGGGACUGAGACACGGCCCAAACUCCUACGGGAGGCAGCAGUAGGGAAUCUUCCACAAUGGACGAAAGUCUGAUGGAGCAACGCCGCGUGAGUGAAGAAGGGUUUCGGCUCGUAAAACUCUGUUGUUAAAGAAGAACAUAUCUGAGAGUAACUGUUCAGGUAUUGACGGUAUUUAACCAGAAAGCCACGGCUAACUACGUGCCAGCAGCCGCGGUAAUACGUAGGUGGCAAGCGUUGUCCGGAUUUAUUGGGCGUAAAGCGAGCGCAGGCGGUUUUUUAAGUCUGAUGUGAAAGCCUUCGGCUCAACCGAAGAAGUGCAUCGGAAACUGGGAAACUUGAGUGCAGAAGAGGACAGUGGAACUCCAUGUGUAGCGGUGAAAUGCGUAGAUUUAUGGAAGAACACCAGUGGCGAAGGCGGCUGUCUGGUCUGUAACUGACGCUGAGGCUCGAAAGUAUGGGUAGCAAACAGGAUUAGAUACCCUGGUAGUCCAUACCGUAAACGAUGAAUGCUAAGUGUUGGAGGGUUUCCGCCCUUCAGUGCUGCAGCUA